rnacentral:rRNA from 1 species
GACGUAGGGCGCGAGCGUUGUCCGGAUUUAUUGGGCGUAAAGAGCUUGUAGGCGGUCUGUCGCGUCUGCUGUGAAAAUCCGGGGCUCAACCCCGGACUUGCAGUGGGUACGGGCAGACUAGAGUGUGGUAGGGGAGACUGGAAUUCCUGGUGUAGCGGUGAAAUGCGCAGAUAUCAGGAGGAACACCGGUGGCGAAGGCGGUUCUCUGGGAAUGACCUGACGCUGAGGAGCGAAAGUGUGGGGAGCGAACAGG